UAGCUGGUCUGAGAGGAUGAUCAGCCACACUGGAACUGACACACGGUCCAGACUCCUACGGGAGGCAGCAGUGAGGAAUUUUGCGCAAUGGGGGAAACCCUGACGCAGCAACGCCGCGUGAGUGAUGAAGGCUUUCGGGUCGUAAAGCUCUGUCAAGUGGGAAGAAACCACGAGGUGAUAAUAUCGCUUUGUGCUGACGGUACCACUGAAGGAAGCACCGGCUAACUCCGUGCCAGCAGCCGCGGUAAUACGGGGGGUGCAAGCGUUAUUCGGAAUCAUUGGGCGUAAAGGGCGCGUAGGCGGUUUGUUAAGUCAGAUGUGAAAGCCCGGGGCUCAACCCCGGAAGUGCAUUUGAUACUGGCGGACUUGAGUAUGGGAGAGGGAAGUGGAAUUCCUGGUGUAGAGGUGAAAUUCGUAGAUAUCAGGAGGAACACCGGUGGCGAAGGCGACUUCCUGGACCAAUACUGACGCUGAGGCGCGAAGGCGUGGGUAGCAAACAGGAUUAGAUACCCUGGUAGUCCACGCAGUAAACGGUGAUCACUAGGUGUAGCGGGUAUUGACCCCUGCUGUGCCGCAGUUAACGCAUUAAGUGAUCCGCCUGGGGAGUACGGCCGCAAGGUUAAAACUCAAAGGAAUUGACGGGGGCCCGCACAAGCGGUGGAGCAUGUGGUUUAAUUCGACGCAACGCGAAGAACCUUACCUGGGUUUGACAUCUCGGGGAUUUUUUGGAAACAAGAAAGUGCCCUUCGGGGAGCCCGAAGACAGGUGCUGCAUGGCUGUCGUCAGCUCGUGUCGUGAGAUGUUGGGUUAAGUCCCGCAACGAGCGCAACCCUUAUCUUUAGUUACCAUCACUUCGGGUGGGGACUCUAAAGAUACUGCCCCGGUCAACGGGGAGGAAGGUGGGGAUGACGUCAAGUCCUCAUGGCCUUUAUGCCCAGGGCUACACACGUGCUACAAUGGGCGAUACAAAGGGUAGCGAGCCUGCGAAGGUGAGCCAAUCCCAAAAAGUCGUUCUUAGUUCGGAUUGGAGUCUGCAACUCGACUCCAUGAAGCUGGAAUCGCUAGUAAUCGCGGAUCAGCACGCCGCGGUGAAUACGUUCCCGGGCCUUGUACACACCGCCCGUCACACCAUGAGAGUUGGUUGUACCAGAAGUUGUUGAGCUAACCCGCAAGGGAGGCAGGCACCUAAGGUAUGGCUGAUGAUUGGGGUGAAGUCGUAACAAGGUA
rnacentral:rRNA from 1 species